rnacentral:rRNA from 1 species
GUGUAGCGUACCUACUAGCCUACGACGGGUACGGGUUGUGAGAGCAAGAGCCCGGAGAUGGAUUCUGAGACACGAAUCCAGGCCCUACGGGGUGCAGCAGGCGCGAAAACUUUACAAUGCUGGCAACAGCGAUAAGGGAACCUCGAGUGCCAGGUUACAAAUCUGGCUGUCGAGAUGCCUAAAAAGCAUUUCAUAGCAAGGGCCGGGCAAGACCGGUGCCAGCCGCCGCGGUAACACCGGCGGCUCGAGUGGUAACCGUUAUUAUUGGGUCUAAAGGGUCUGUAGCCGGCCGGAUAAGUCUCUUGAGAAAUCUGGCAGCUUAACUGUCAGGCUUUCAGGAGAUACUGUCUGGCUCGAGGCCGGGAGAGGUGAGAGGUACUUCAGGGGUAGGGGUGAAAUCUUGUAAUCCUUGAAGGACCACCAGUGGCGAAGGCGUCUCACCAGAACGGACCUGACGGCAAGGGACGAAAGCUAGGGGCACGAACCGGAUUAGAUACCCGGGUAGUCCUAGCCGUAAACGAUACUCGCUAGGUGUCGGCCACGGUGCGACCGUUGUCGGUGCCGUAGGGAAGCCG